rnacentral:rRNA from 1 species
UACGUAGGGGGCAAGCGUUGUCCGGAUUUAUUGGGCGUAAAGAGCGUGUAGGCGGUUUGGUAGGUCCGCUGUGAAAACUCGAGGCUCAACCUCGAGACGCCGGUGGAAACCAUCAGACUAGAGUCCGGAAGAGGAGAGUGGAAUUCCUGGUGUAGCGGUGAAAUGCGCAGAUAUCAGGAAGAACACCUGUGGCUAAGGCGGCUCUCUAGUACGGUACUGACGCUGAGACGCGAAAGCGUGGGGAGCGAACAGG